rnacentral:rRNA from 1 species
CUACGUAGGUGGCAAGCGUUGUCCGGAUUUACUGGGCGUAAAGGGAGCGUAGGCGGACGCUUAAGUCAGUUGUGAAAGUUUGCGGCUCAACCGUAAAAUUGCAGUUGAUACUGGGUGUCUUGAGUACAGUAGAGGCAGGCGGAAUUCGUGGUGUAGCGGUGAAAUGCUUAGAUAUCACGAAGAACUCCGAUUGCGAAGGCAGCCUGCUGGACUGUAACUGACGCUGAUGCUCGAAAGUGUGGGUAUCAAACAGGAUUAGAUACCCUGGUAGUCCACACAGUAAACGAUGAAUACUCGCUGUUUGCGAUAUACAGUAAGCGGCCAAGCGAAAGCGUUAAGUAUUCCACCUGGGGAGUACGCCGGCAACGGUGAAACUCAAAGGAAUUGGCGGG